rnacentral:rRNA from 1 species
GUGGGGAAUAUUGGACAAUGGGCGCAAGCCUGAUCCAGCCAUGCCGCGUGUGUGAAGAAGGCCUUUUGGUUGUAAAGCACUUUAAGCGAGGAGGAGGCUCCUUUAGUUAAUACCUAAAGAGAGUGGACGUUACUCGCAGAAUAAGCACCGGCUAACUCUGUGCCAGCAGCCGCGGUAAUACAGAGGGUGCGAGCGUUAAUCGGAUUUACUGGGCGUAAAGCGUGCGUAGGCGGCUUUUUAAGUCGGAUGUGAAAUACCUGAGCUUAACUUAGGAAUUGCAUUCGAUACUGGAAAGCUAGAGUAUGGGAGAGGAUGGUAGAAUUCCAGGUGUAGCGGUGAAAUGCGUAGAGAUCUGGAGGAAUACCGAUGGCGAAGGCAGCCAUCUGGCCUAAUACUGACGCUGAGGUACGAAAGCAUGGGGAGCAAACAGGAUUAGAUACCCGGGUAGUCC